rnacentral:lncRNA from 12 species
CCGGUGAUUCUGAUGGAAGUGGUCCAUGAACAAUAUUUUGAGAAAUGUUGCAGCCGUCUGUUUAACACUUGAGAAGUCUUGCUUUACAUCCUUAAUAUUCUCUUCCCAGCCACUCUCAGAAAUGUAUGCACCUCAUGAAAGACUCCUCCUUACUGUUUCCUCCAGUCUCUGCCUCAAAUCUUGCAUCUCUCCCUGCACCACUUCCUUCCACUGACUUGGAUACUUCAGACUGCCCUUGACUUCCUGAACCCGAACUUGUCUGAUGUCAAGACACUAGUUCCCCUACAAAUGCAAUUUCCUGCAAGAUGGACUCAAAACACCAUAAUGGCUCAGGGGGAGCCAAAUGCAGGAUUACAUGAUAGGCCAGAAGCUGUGUCAUGGUCUACCAGGCCAGGUUGAAAGAACUCAGCAGUCUCCUGAUCUUCAAGCCAAUUAGCUCAAGAGAUAGUUCUACAGAAAUCUGCACUGUCUUUUCAAAUGAGAAAGGCUUGCAGAAAACUCAGACUCGCCACUGCCUAACCCAUUGGCUCUCACCAGAAGUGAGCAAACGGAACUCUUGGUAUGGUGCCUUCCUCAUACACACGCUACUGCCUGGUUUCCCGGGCUUCCUUAUUCUAUUGGGAAAUUAGAAACUUUCCCCCAGGAGG